GACGAACGCUGGCGGCGUGCUUAACACAUGCAAGUCGUACGGAAAGGCCCUGGCUUUGGUUGGUGUGCUCGAGUGGCGAACGGGUGAGUAACACGUGGGUGAUCUGCUCUGCAUUUUGGGAUAAGCCUGGGAAACUGGGUCUAAUACUGGAUAGGACCAUGUUUUUGUGUGUCAUGGUGGAAAUGCUUCUUUUUGGGGCUGGUUUGGGAUGGGCUGGCGGCCUAUCAGCUGGGUGGUGGGGUGAUGGCCUACCAAGGCGUCGACCGGUAGCCGGCCUGAGAGGGUGUAGGGCCACGUUGGGACUGAGAAACGGAGGCGACAGCGGCGGAUGGCAGCAGUGGGGAGUAUGGCACAAUGAGCGCAAGCGUGAGGGAGCGAAGCGGCGUGGGGGAGGACAGCCUUCGGGUUGUAAACGUAAUUCGGUGGGGAAGUAGCUUGUUUUGGUGACGGUACCUGGAGAAGAAGCACCGGCUAACUACGUG
rnacentral:rRNA from 1 species